GUGCUCCCCCGCCAAUUCCUUUAAGUUUCAACCUUGCGGUCGUACUUCCCAAGUGGCCCGCUUCACGGCUUCCCUACGGCACCACGGCAGUUCACGACUGCCGUGACACCUAGCGGGCAUCGUUUACGGCUAGGACUACCCGGGUAUCUAAUCCGGUUCGUGCCCCUAGCUUUCGUCCCUCACCGUCGGACCUGUUCUGGUAGGACGCCUUCGCCACCGGUGGUCCCCAGAGGAUUACAGGAUUUCACUCCUACCCCCUGAGUACCUCCCACCUCUCCCAGUCCCAAGCAAUGUAGUAUCCCGCAGACGCCCAACGGUUAAGCCGCUGGAUUUCCCACAAGACUUGCAAAGCCGGCUACGGACCCCUUAGACUCAAUAAUAUCGGCCACCACUCGAGCCGCCGGUAUUACCGCGGCGGCUGGCACCGGUCUUGCCCGGCCCUUGCUAACAGCCGUUUUUUAGACAGCUGGACAGACACCUAAUGUAGAUGCCACUCGAUGUUCCCCUAUCGCAGUUGCCUGCAUUGUAGAGUUUUCGCGCCUGCUGCGCCCCGUAGGGCCUGGAUUCGUGUCUCAGAAUCCAUCUCCGGGCUCUUGCUCCCACAACCCGUACUGAUAAUCGGCACGCCGGUACUUUACACCGGCGUCAACCUAAUCAGCCGCAGACCCAUCCAAAGGCGCCAGAGCUUUCAAUCAAAAAACCCUUCCAGUACUCUUGACCUAUCCGGUAUUAUCCCCAGUUUCCCGGAGUUAUCCCAGACCUUUGGGUAGGUUGUCCACGUGUUACUGAGCCGU
rnacentral:rRNA from 1 species